rnacentral:lncRNA from 1 species
UGAACAGUGAUUCUCCUGUCUCAGUCCUCCAGAUGCUGGGAUUACAGGCCUGAGCUACCAAGUCCCCCUAAGAGUUGGUUUUCUAAGAAGGGCAGGGUUCUUUCUUCCUACUGUUGGGCCAUGGCGGAAACUGCUCAGACUUCCAGUUCAGCCCCAGGAGUCCCAGUCUUGUGUCCUCCGGGUGUGUGGACUCAGAUGCCUCUGCCCUUCUGAGCCCCAGACUCAGCAUCCAUGUAACAAGGACAAUUUCCAUGUUGUUGAGAAGAAAAUGAAGAGAGAAAGCUUCACCAUCCUUCCAGAUCUCCUCAGAUGGGGCCACAUGCCUGCAACAGAAAUAGUCCCCAGGCAUCAAGGCUGCCGGGAGAUGAAGCCCACUUAUCCCACAUGCUGCCCAGAGUAAAACACAUACAAUUGGUGAUUGGUGUGUCAUCUCCUAAUGCACUCACUGAAGUACGCAUACCUUCACGGGGGGAACCUGCAUUAAGUUAUUACCAAAUGUGGGGGAAACUGGGACUCAGAAAGGUGAAGUCAUUUGCCAACUAUCCCUCAACUGGAGGACAGAAGACUAAAAAUCAAAUAACCGAAACAAACAGAAAACAACCCUUUAACCAAAAAUCAAACCAAAACAAGCAAAAAAACCCUGAUUUCAAAAUCAUACUUCUUUAAAUGCCAUCCUAGAGCCUUCAUCUAGUAGCUGAUGGAAGCAGAAGCAGACACCCACAGCUAAGCUCUGAGCUGAACUCCUGGAAUCCAGAUGUAGAGAGGGAGGAGGAAUGCUGAGCAAAGGGGUCAAGACCUGGCUGGAGAAACCCACAGAAACAGCUGACCUUAACAAGGGGGAGCUCGUGGACCCCAGACUGAUAUCUGGGAAACCAGCAUAGGACCGAUCCCGGCCCCUUGAACGUGGGUGUCAGCGAGGAUCCCUGGGCAGUCUAUGAGGCCCCUGGUAGUGGAUCAGUAUUUAUCCCUAGUAUAAGAAUGGACUUUGGGAGCCCAUUCCACAUAGAGGGAUACUGUCUCAGCCUAGAUACACGGGGGAGGGCCUAGGCGCUGCUCCAAAUGAAAUGACAGACUUUGAAGAUUCCCCCAUGGAAGGCCUCACUCUCC